AUGAGCUCUUCUGACGAGCCAACGACAGUCCAGCGACUUUACGGCCGUUGAACAACGAGGACCGUUUUAUCUGUCAAAAAGGUGUGAAACCAACCGGGUCAGAGGAUGUGUGGACCGGUCCUGCCCCUGUGCCUCCUGCUGUGGAUCCUACCAGCAACACAAGG